UGCGGGGUGGAGCAGUCUGGUAGCUCGUCGGGCUCAUAACCCGAAGGUCGCGGGUUCGAAUCCCGCCCCCGCUA
rnacentral:tRNA from 8 species